AAUGGCAGUGAUGACUCAAUAAUUUCAAGCUCAACAGACCGGAAUGCAGGCUUUUCUUUCUAGAGAAAUUUGCGUGUCGACAACCCCGCUGAACUGAGCCAUC